CAGUAGCCGCGGGAAAACGAAGGGGGCUAGCGUUGCUCGGAAUGACUGGGCGUAAAGGGCGCGUAGGCGGCUUGUACAGUCAGAUGUGAAAUUCCUGGGCUUAACCUGGGGGCUGCAUUUGAUACGUGCGGGCUAGAAUGUGAAAGAGGGUCGUGGAAUUCCCAGUGUAGAGGUGAAAUUCGUAGAUAUUCGCAAGAACACCAGUGGCGAAGGCGGCUCACUGGCCCGGAACUGGCGCUGAGACGCGAAAGCGUGGGGAGCAAACAGGAUUAGAGACCCGCGUAGUCCCUGUCUUUUAUAA
rnacentral:rRNA from 1 species